UGGCUCAGGAUGAACGCUGGCGGCGUGCCUAAUACAUGCAAGUCGAGCGCGUGAGGCUAAACUGAACUCUUCGGAGUGACGUUUGGCGGAUCGAGCGGCGGAUGGGUGAGUAACACGUGGGCAACCUGCCUAUAAGACUGGGAUAACUUACGGAAACGUGAGCUAAUACCGGAUGAAACCUCUUAUCACCUGGUAAGAGGAUGAAAGAUGGCUUUUAGCUAUCACUUAUAGAUGGGCCCGCGGCGCAUUAGCUAGUUGGUGAGAUAAAAGCUCACCAAGGCAACGAUGCGUAGCCGACCUGAGAGGGUGAUCGGCCACACUGGGACUGAGACACGGCCCAGACUCCUACGGGAGGCAGCAGUAGGGAAUCUUCCGCAAUGGACGAAAGUCUGACGGAGCAACGCCGCGUGAACGAAGAAGGUUCUCGGAUCGUAAAGUUCUGUUGUUAGGGAAGAACACGUACCAUUCGAAUAGGGUGGUACCUUGACGGUACCUAACGAGAAAGCCCCGGCUAACUACGUGCCAGCAGCCGCGGUAAUACGUAGGGGGCAAGCGUUGUCCGGAAUUAUUGGGCGUAAAGCGCUCGCAGCGGUUUUUUAAGUCUGAUGUGAAUCUUGCGGCUCAACCGCAAGCGGUCAUUGGAA
rnacentral:rRNA from 1 species